rnacentral:rRNA from 1 species
CAUUACUGAGUUACCGCUCUACAACCCUUUGUGAACAUACCUAACCGUUGCUUCGGCGGGCAGGGGAAGCCUCUCGCGGGCCUCCCCUCCCGGCGCCGGCCCCACCACGGGGACGGGGCGCCCGCCGGAGGAAACCAAACUCUAUUUACACGACGUCUCUUCUGAGUGGCACAAGCAAAUAAUUAAAACUUUUAACAACGGAUCUCUUGGUUCUGGCAUCGAUGAARAACGCAGCGAAAUGCGAUAAGUAAUGUGAAUUGCAGAAUUCAGUGAAUCAUCGAAUCUUUGAACGCACAUUGCGCUCGCCAGCAUUCUGGCGAGCAUGCCUGUUCGAGCGUCAUUUCAACCCUCAAGCACCGCUUGGUUUUGGGGCCCCACGGCAGACGUGGGCCCUUAAAGGUAGUGGCGGACCCUCCCGGAGCCUCCUUUGCGUAGUAACUAACGUCUCGCACUGGGAUCCGGAGGGACUCUUGCCGUAAAACCCCCAAAUUCUUUACAGGUUGACCUCGGAUCAGGUAGGAAUACCCGCUGAACUUAAGCAUAUCAU